UUUUAUUUGAGAGUUUGAUCCUGGCUCAGGAUGAACGCUGGCGGCGUGCCUAACACAUGCAAGUUGAGCGAUUUACUUCGGUAAAGAGCGGCGGACGGGUGAGUAACGCGUGGGUAACCUACCCUGUACACACGGAUAACAUACCGAAAGGUAUGCUAAUACGGGAUAAUAUAUUUGAGAGGCAUCUCUUGAAUAUCAAAGGUGAGCCAGUACAGGAUGGACCCGCGUCUGAUUAGCUAGUUGGUAAGGUAACGGCUUAC
rnacentral:rRNA from 1 species